GACGAACGCUGGCGGCGUGCUUAACACAUGCCAGUCGAACGGAAAGGCCCUGCUUUUGUGGGGUGCUCGAGUGGCGAACGGGUGAGUAACACGUGAGUAACCUGCCCUUGACUUUGGGAUAACUUCAGGAAACUGGGGCUAAUACCGGAUAGGAGCUCCUGCUGCAUGGUGGGGGUUGAAAAGUUUCGGCGGUUGGGGAUGGACUCGCGGCUUAUCAGCUUGUUGGUGGGGUAGUGGCUUACCAAGGCUUUGACGGGUAGCCGGCCUGAGAGGGUGACCGGCCACACUGGGACUGAGAUACGGCCCAGACUCCUACGGGAGGCAGCAGUGGGGAAUAUUGCACAAUGGGCGGAAGCCUGAUGCAGCAACGCCGCGUGCGGGAUGACGGCCUUCGGGUUGUAAACCGCUUUCGCCUGUGACGAAGCGUGAGUGACGGUAAUGGGUAAAGAAGCACCGGCUAACUACGUG
rnacentral:rRNA from 1 species